rnacentral:rRNA from 1 species
UAUUAACCAUGAUCGUUUGGGUGCAGGAGGAUUAUCGGGUAUGGCCAGAUUUUUUAUGGGCGAGGAGACCCAGGAGCGGAUGGAAUUAGGGCUGACUCGGGCCUUGGUACUUUUGAGCUUCACAACGCAUCUUACCAUGGCCCUAUUAGCCGGGAUCCGUCGGCGUAGAGACUCCGGCUUGCGGAGGUUUCUGGUGUGGUUGGCAUACUACGUGACGGAGAAAGCCACGCCAAUCGCCCUUGGCAUGGUGUUCCUCGACACCGUGACCGCAGAUAGCGAGCAGAAGAUAUUUGCGCUCUGGGCACCUUUUCUCCUGCUGCACCUUGGUCGCCCGGACAACACCAC